GCCAGGUGUGGGGGUGCAUGCUUGUGUUCCCAGUUACUCAGGAGGUUGAGGCAGAGGGAUCGCUUGAACCCAGGAGUUUGGGGCUGCAGUGAACUAUGACUGCACCACUGCACUCCAGCCUGGGCAAAAGAGUGAGACUCUGUCUCUU
ensembl:misc_RNA Metazoa_SRP Metazoan signal recognition particle RNA